UCUCUUUUUAGGAAAGGGAAGCAUCGGAUGCGUCUUGAAGGGUGAACCAUUUUUGAAACUUAUCAGGAUGAUGGAGUUGUCCCGCCAGUGUGUGGGCUCAGCCUAUUGCAAGUCCGGUGCGGUUUAAUUUUUGCACGGACCGACCUUGAGUUGUUACCUGGCCUCGACAAAAGUGGGCGUAGCUGUUCCGAUUGUGAAGGAAGGAUGGCAAGGAACAAAAGAUUGUAUGAAAAAUCAAUGCUUGCUGGCUAUCAAGCGCACCUUGAAAAAUAGGAUGGAUAGGCCUGCAUUAGCUGGAACGUCCCAGCUGACUAAUACGGAAUCGUUGGUUACUUGGGUCACAUUAGGUUUACUUGGAG